AACUAUUGUGUAAGUUCUCAAUUAAUUUCUAAACUUGAAAAUGUUAUUUUAAAUUAGUUUUUAAACUACAAAAUAUUUUAAUCGGAUUCUCAAAAUAUUAAAAUUGUAUUAAUUAGGUUUUCUCAUCAACCUAAACAUUAACUUAAGCAUUAAAUUUUAAUUCGAAUCUAAUAUGUAGCAUAUUAAAAUAUGUUGAUUGAAUUAAAACAUGUUUUUACUACAUGGACAAUUUGAAUUUGACACGUUAAGAAAGAUAUUCUUUCAAAUUUAGGAGAACUG
rnacentral:lncRNA from 1 species